AUUUUUGUGAUCCAUCAUGUUCAUGAUGCUCUGCUCCAUGUGCAGCUUUAAUUCACUCAGAUUCAUCACCAUCCCCGUUUUCUCAUCAAUGGGUCCUCUGAUAGUGACUUCCACUAUGGUUUCAAACAAAAAGGGAUUCCUGGCCGUCAACGACGAAUGAGGCGUGUCCAACAUAGUCGGGAGACAGUGGAUUCCUCCUACAAUCUCACUACACUACUUGGAAGCUCGAGUGGGAGCGAACCUGGGGAAAAAGGUGAUUACAUCCGCCGUCACACCACGUUAUGAGGAAAGAAGGAGAUGAAGAAGCUGUCAGAAAUCCACCUACGAAAAAGAUACCGACCUUCAGUCUAUUUAAAUACCAUUACCUAGACGCAUCCGGCCAGCGACGAAAAUAUUUUCCUUCAUUUAUGUGAAGCCAACACAAGUGGAAGAGUCCGUAUGUGACCGAUAUGAAUAAUCCAGAACUGAUAAAAGGGACGUGAUUCACCGAGAUCUGUGAGAUCAAGUCAGCCAAGAGUUAUGCCGUGUACGUGUGACUUAUUCCCCUCUUUUUUUUUUCUUUUUUAGAAUAAGAUUGUGUCGUUGUGAGUCACCGGUACAACGUCAACGGGCUGACUCAACCGCCUUCAAGUGGGUGCACAAUCUGUUACGGCAACUGCCAUCGUCCGAAACAUCAGUCGUCGCCAACAAAUUGGAAGGCAAGUUUGAAUUUAUUUUAAAUGUUUCGUGUUGCCCGUAGCAACUUUAACAGAUGAUUGAGCAUUGCUGGGCAAAUCGUUGAGAUCCGCGAUUACCUUGCGUCAUCUUCCGGAAAAUUGUGAAACGAAUUAGCGGUUAACGCAGGUU